AUGGUAAAGCAUUUGUAAAUUAUUUAGCCGAUAUCUUUAUAAAACUAAAUAUAUUAAAUAAGCAACUUCAAGAACCAAAUAAAAGACUUGUCGAUGCAAAAGCAAAGAUAUUUGGUUUCAUUACCAAUAUAGAGUUAUAUCAGAAAUAUAUUAACAACAAAAACUUUAAACAGUUUCAUUGGCUCCAAAAAUGUGAAGUAACUGAUACCGCUCCAAUAUUAGUGGAUUUGUCUGAUAUAUCAAAUAUGCAGUAUCAAGAAGAAUUCGCAGAAUUGCAAAAUGAUGAAUCAGUAAAAACUUUAUUUAAUAUAAAAGGAGCGAUGGCAUGGCUUUGUGAAGAAACUGAAAUUAAGUACCCAAAUGCAACCAAAUGUGCAAGAAAACUUUUACUACCGUUUUCAUCUUCAUAUUUAGCUGAAUGUGGAUUUAGUGCUGUAAAUGAUUUACUGAUAAAAAAAGAAAUCGACUUGAUAUAACACAACGUGGAGACUUGAUAUUAAAGCUAAGUAAAUUGGAACCUAAUAUAAAAUCUCUGUGCAGCAAGCAUCAAGCGCAAGGAUCGCACUAAAUGAAUAUAGAAAAAUCAAUAUUAAAAUUAUUUUAAAUUUCAGUUUUUCAUUAUAUGUUUUGAAAUUUUACUUACGAUGUUUUGAUGACAAUUUCAUAGUGAUUUCUUCCUAAAACUUAUCAUUUAUAUUUUUUAAGGAAACAAAACAAUUUUUAAAGGUUAAAAAUUAUGUAUGGGGGGCAUAAACAUUUUAGAAAUGUUAAGGUGGGGCAUGGCCUAAAAAACACUGGUUGGGAAACACUGGUCUAAAGUAUUCGUUGCGCGGACGUUUUGUGUACGAAGGUGCCGGCCAUUCAAGCACUGGACGCUUGUGGUGUGAAAUAGACACUGCGUUCGAGAGCCACGUAUUAACCGGUGUUGUCUUAAAUUCGCACUACAUCGAACCACGUAACUUUCUUCAGGAUGCGAGAGACGUUGUGCUCGAGCAUAUAUGUGGGGUGCAUUGGUGAAAUAUAAGACACUAAAAGUGAAUACCGCGUUUAAUGAAGAGUUUGUAGCGGGUGAUAAACGCUCAAAGAAGCGUAUCAGCACAAAAAACUGUGAAAUCUUCGGCGCAACCAAUCUCGAAGAGUGGUACGAGCAACACGUCGUCGAACCUACCCUAGCAUCGCUGGAAGAAUUUCAAGAACGGGAUAGCGGAUGGGCGCUGUCGCGUAUACUCAAUUUAAUUGUUAACGUGAAUAUGCCAUUGCAUACUGGAUGGACCGUACAAUUACCGCGAGAAAUACAACUAAAGAGAGCUGUAAUCAACGUAUGCUCGAACGACAAUGCAUGUUUCGCGUGGUCAGUAGUGGCUGCUCUCCAACCAGCCGAAAGGGACUCAUGUCGGGCAUCGAAAUAUCCUCAUUAUUCAACGGUGUUGAAUAUCUAGGAUAUCGAAUUUCCAAUGACAUUGAACCAAAUUAAAAAGUUUGAACAGGUCAACAACAUCUCCAUCAACGUCUACACCACUGAAGAAAAGAAGGUUUUACCGAUACGGCUCGCCACACAGAAGAUGGAAAGACAUGUCAAUUUCCUGUAUUUAGAAGGAGCAAACGGCAUGUGGCAUUUCGCAUGGAUCAAAAACUUAUCUCGCCUUGUGAGUUCACAAUUGAAUAAAAAUAAUCAUCGAAAAUACUUUUGCGAUAGAUGCUUGCACUACUUUAGUUCGAGUGAGAAGCUGGAAGCUCACACCGUAGAUUGCGAGAAGAUGAAUGAUUGAGCAAUCGUAUUACCAGAUGAUGACAGCAAGUGGCUCACCUUCAACAACUACAUACGGAAUGAGCGACUUCCAUUUGUGGUGUAUGCCAACUUUGAGUGCAUUCUAGAGAAAACGGAUACUGAUCGGGAAGCGCCAAGAUACACAUACCAGCAUCAUAAAGUAUUUAGUAUUGCAUAUUAUGUUCAAUGCGCGUACGAUUCGUCCUCGUCGGUGUACCAAUGUCGUCGAUGCGAAUUGUGUUUCCUGGUUCGUCGAAGAAUUAAAGAAUUUGGCACAUUUUGUUAAAUCAAUUUUAUCAAAUAACAUACAAAUGGAUGAUUUAACGAGCGAACAGCAGGAGGCAUUUCGCAACGCGACGCAUUGUCAAAUUUGGGAAAAACCGUUUGGAGAAAACGAUACGAGGGUGCGCAAUCAUUGCCAUCUAACCAGACGGUACAGAGGUUCCGCGCAAUCCAAUUGUAAUCUAAAUGAUAAAAACUCUUUUUGCAUUUCCAUAGUUUUUCAUAAUUUGUCCGGUUACGAUUCGCAUUUUAUUAUCGAAGAAAUAGCUACAGCCUUCGAGGGUGCCGUCAAUGUAUUCCCGAUAACAAAAGAAAAAUACAUCUCAUUCAUAAAAAGUGUCGAAGAUUCAAAUGGACUGUCGCGAAAUUGUAUAAAAUUGAAAUUCAUCGUGUUUAAACACUGCGGUAUGAGCGUCGACUAUAGUCGACAGCCACAGACGAACGCGCACAGCCGAGCGUCGACUUUAGUCGACGGCCAGAGAUGAAGGCGAACCAGUACAACCGGCUACCAACACCGACGCUGAAAUUUUUAUAGUGGUGGUGGCAGUGCCGUUUUUAGCAAUAUUCGCGCCCUGAGGAAGAUUAUCGUGGCGCCCAGUUAAAAUAUAUGGGGCAUUCCAAGUCGUUUCGACCACUUUUAGAGCUGACCAUUUUUUAUUUGGUUGAAAUUUAAAAUUUAAAAUUUUUGAAACAAUAAUUUUGAAUUACAUUUUCUAAUUUUUCAUUUAUCAAAAUAAGAUUGUGAACAUUUAGAAAUAUCGUAAUAAAAAUAUAUGCUCUGCUGAUAUGCAUUACAAGUAAAGCUGCUUGUAAUGAAAAACAUACUUUCAGUGCUUCAAACGGAUUCGUCGUCGGUACACAGUACGAAGUAUCGUGCGCACUACGAGUGUCGGCUGUGGGCGCGGCCCGGCGGCCGAUGAGUGCCGCACCGAAGUGGUUAAUGUAGUAAUUUCUUUAGUAGCAAAGUCCCUUGAUCGGUAUGAAGUGUGGAGCAAAUUCCGUGCCGUGACACGAACCGCCGAUAUGCAGCGAGAACGCGUCUGUGAUACAAUCUGAGACUAGUUCUAAAGGGUCGCAGAGAUUAUUUUGACGUGACGUGACGUGGGAACACGUCAGGCUACGUGGGCCCACGUCAGACAUGAGAAGUUGUCAGAAAUAAUGAAUCCUUCGAUAAUUCUGUGUCUAUGACACUUCGGUUAUUGAGGUCGAAACGGGUAUUAGAGAUUCUAAAAACCAUUCAACGCUAAAGACUCGAAAUACCUUAAAUCUCAAAAAUAACCUUUUCUCGACCGCAGGCCAAACGUAACAACAAAAUUUCAAUGUUAUAUUCCUUGCGACGGAACACUCUUUUUUUUUUGCAAUGUCAAAGAGGUAUCGCGGUAGGCGAUGUUAACUACUUCAGACGUGUAGUUGUCCAGUUUGUCAACAACCAACCUAUCCGUGUAAGAUAUAAUAACGUUUAACGUUUAAUAACGAUAUUAAACAUUUUUUUACAGUACAAAUAAAGAUCGUGCAAAACAAUAAUAAUACUAAUAAUUUUUCUUGAUUCAGUGGACAGAGAAGUAUUAGCAGGGUCGAUGGGGGGGGGGGGGGGGGGGCGGUAAGGGAAGGGCUGGUGAGGAAAUGUGUGGAAAUUCUGAGGGAGACGAGGAGUAAGGUGAGAGUGGGGGAGAAAGAAGGGCAGAAUUUUUGGACGGUAAAAGGGGUAAGGCAGGGCUGCCUACUGAGUCCAAUCCUGUUUACGCUAUUGAUGGCGGAUAUGGAGGAAGAGCUGAAGAAGGGAGGAUGGGGGGGGUGGCGUAAAGGUGGAUGGGGAGGUAUACACGCUGGCCUAUGCGGACGAUAUUGCGGUGAUGGCAGAGGACGAAGAUGGGAUGAAAGGGGUGAUGGCAAGGUUGGGGAGCUAUAUAGGGGAGAAAAAGCUGGAGGUCAAUGUGGGAAAAACAAAAAUGAUGAGAUGCAGAAGUGGAGGCGGGAGGAGAGGAAGGAUGAUAUGGAGGUGGAAAGGUGAAGAGGUAGAAGAGGUGAAAAAAUUUAAAUACCUAGGAUAUGUGGUAAUGGCGAAUGGGAGGCAAGAGGAGCAUGUGAAGGAAAGGGCUAAGAAAGGGAUGGUGCCGAUGAGGCAGGUUUAGGGGUUAGGAAGAAGGAAGUUUGCGAAGGAUUGGGGUAAAAGAAUAUGGCUGUUUGAUAGGUUAGUAUGGGCGGUAAUGGGAUACGGGGUAGAGAUUUGGGGUUGGAAGGAGAGAGAGAAACUAGAGAGGGUACAGGAGAGGUUUCUAAGAUGGGUUUUGGGAGUGGAAAGGACGGUGCCAGGUUACAUGAUAAGAGAAGAAUUGGAGAGGGAAAGGUUGGGAGGAAGAGCGGGUAUGAGGACAUGGGGAUUUGAAAGGAAGCUAAGCGAAGGCAAAGGAGGAUACAUAGCAAGGAAAUGUUGGAUGGAGGUAAGAGGAAGGGCGAUGAGAGGGAGAGCGUUAGAAGGGUGGGAGGAGGAGAGGAGAGGGGAGGGUUCUAUGAAAGAAAGGGAUGGAGUAU